GGGGGGAGGCCGAUCCUGGGCUGUGUCCCGGCGCCCUAUGCUCCGGGGCCUGCGCUGGUGGAUUUGCGCUCCCGCCCCGCAGCCCCCU
rnacentral:pre_miRNA from 1 species